rnacentral:rRNA from 1 species
ACCGAUUGAAUGGCUCAGUGAGGCCUUCGGACUGGCUCAGGGAGGUUGGCAACGACCACCCCGAGCCGGAAAGUUCGUCAAACUCGGUCAUUUAGAGGAAGUAAAAGUCGUAACAAGGUUUCCGUAGGUGAACCUGCGGAAGGAUCAUUACCGUGGGGAUUCGUCCCCAUUGAGAUAGCACCCUUUGUUCAUGAGUACCCUUGUUUCCUCGGCGGGCUUGCCCGCCAGUAGGACAAUAUCAAAACCCUUUUGCAGUAGCAGUAACUUCAGUUAACAAACAAAUAUUAAAACUUUCAACAACGGAUCUCUUGGUUCUGGCAUCGAUGAAGAACGCAGCGAAAUGCGAUAAGUAGUGUGAAUUGCAGAAUUCAGUGAAUCAUCGAAUCUUUGAACGCACAUUGCGCCCUUCGGUAUUCCGUUGGGCAUGCCUGUUCGAGCGUCAUUUAAACCUUCAAGCUAUGCUUGGUGUUGGGUGUUUGUCCCGCCUCAGCGCGUGGACUCGCCUCAAAUCCAUUGGCAGCCGGUAUGUUGGCUUCGUGCGCAGCACAUUGCAAGCGGAACUCAGCAGACCUCCUUCCCACAAGCCCUUCUUUUACUUUGACCUCGGAUCAGGUAGGGAUACCCGCUGAACUUAAGCAUAUCAAUAAGCGGAGGAAAAGAAACCAACAGGGAUUGCCUCAGUAACGGCGAGUGAAGCGGCAAUAGCUCAAAUUUGAAAUCUGGCUCUUUCAGGGUCCGAGUUGUAAUUUGCAGAGGGCGCUUUGGAGUCGGCAGCAGCCUAAGUUCCUUGGAACAGGUCAUCAUAGAGGGUGAGAAUCCCGUAUGUGGCUGCUUGCCUUCGCCGUGUAAAGCCCCUUCGAUGAGUCGAGUUGUUUGGGAAUGCAGCUCUAAAUGGGAGGUAAAUUUCUUCUAAAGCUAAAUAUUGGCCAGAGACCGAUAGCGCACAAGUAGAGUGAUCGAAAGAUGAAAAGCACUUUGGAAAGAGAGUCAAAAAGCACGUGAAAUUGUUGAAAGGGAAGCGCUUGCAGCCAGACGUGCCCGUAGUUGCUCAUCUGGGGUUCUCCCCAGUGCACUCUUCUAUGGGCAGGCCAGCAUCAGUCCGGGCGGUUGGAGAAAGACCUGUGUCACGUAGCUCUCUUCGGGGAGUGUUAUAGGGCAGGUGGAAUGCAACCAGCCUGGACUGAGGUCCGCGCAUCUGCUAGGAUGCUGGCGUAAUGGCUGUAAGCGGCCCGUCUUGAAACACGGACCAAGGAGUCUAACAUCUAUGCGAGUGUUUGGGUGUCAAGCCCGAGCGCGUAAUGAAAGUGAACGGAGGUGGGAACCCCUCGGGGUGCACCAUCGACCGAUCCUGAUGUCUUCGGAUGGAUUUGAGUAAGAGCAUAGCUGUUGGGACCCGAAAGAUGGUGAACUAUGCCUGAAUAGGGUGAAGCCAGAGGAAACUCUGGUGGAGGCUCGCAGCGGUUCUGACGUGCAAAUCGAUCGUCAAAUUUGGGCAUAGGGGCGAAAGACUAAUCGA